ensembl:lncRNA
AUGUAUCUGUCCUUUGAGUGAUUGGAGCAUGUACAGAUGACAACGGCUGUUACCCUCCUCAUCACACACACACACACACACACACACACACACACACACACACACACACACACACACACACGACAGAUCCACUCACAGAGAGUGACAGACUGAGAGGAGAGCAUUGUCACAUCUCUUCUAAGAGUUUCUGAUCUAAAGAUGUCACUUAAAACCUAAAAAGAACAAGAAAAGUGACAGAUUUUUAUCGAAAAAAUACAUUUUUUUUGUCUUUGACAUAUCAGAUCUAUUUCUCAGAACCUAGCCUACUCUGAAAGAUACAAAGUCUUGUUCCUGCACAUGUGAGCUGAUCGGAUGUGAUACUCUCAGCUUGAAGUCUUGUUUUUUUGAGUCUGGUACAACAGAGAGAGAAAGACAGGCAGAAUUGUGAGGGGGGCUCUUCUUUACUGCACACCCUAAUGAGAGCUUCCCUGUUUAAUUAAUGUCUCAAGAAUAUUAAUUCUGACCAAAUCAAUUAAGUAGCGGGUUAAGUAGGGGUGGUUUUUCUCAAAGAUAUUCCCUGUGUAAAAGGAAACAAACACAAACAGGAGAGUGAGCCGGAUGCUUAUUAUUGUGCAUGCAUCAUUACACCAGGCCUUGCGUUCCCUGCUGACUCUGGCUAAUUCUAAUUAAGACUAAUGAAAGUCUCAUUUAUGAGAAAGCCGAGACAGGUAUGCAAACAUUCAGGGUGGCUAUGGCUCGCAUGAUAAUGACCUCAGUACCACUUGUUAAUUUAAGACCUGCCUCCUUAGCAAUUAGGCUGCCUGACACACCACAAUUCUCUCUCUCUCUCUCUCUCUCUCUCUCUCUCUCUCUCUGUGUGUGUGUGUGUGUGUGUGUGUGUGUAUGGGUGACUGGAUGAAGCCUGAGAUCUUUAUUCUGUUUCCCCAGUCACACACCUAAAAUCCUAAUGAUCCAACUGAGAAACAGACAAUAUUUGAUCUCUCUCACUCACUCACUUACUCACUCACACACACACACACACACACACACACACACAUACACACACCUUGGCCUGUAUUGCAUAAUCUUGGCAUAAGCUACGUAGAUAAGAACAACACUUUGUGCAUUAAGAAAAUAAAUAAAUCCACAUUACAAUGGAAGAAUGUGAUAUUGUCCCAAGUAUUUUUGCACGGUGUUUGUUUAACGUCAUGUAACUGUGCAGCCCGUAUGUUUUUUUCUUUCUUUCUUUUUCUGAGUCUAGAUAUCGUUAAAGCCACGAAUCACAACACGCCUCUAUCCGGUUCUCCUGGUGUCACCCGCGCAGUUUCAUUACAUCCGUCCUAAUCCUCUCACACACUUGCCACAACACAGGGCACCGGGUCGCAUGUCAGCCAGAUUUGUACCAGAUUAUUCUCCACAAUUAAUGGCUGCUCGGGCUGGAGGGGUCAGCGAAAGUAGACAACCCCGCAAAGCUACGGCAAACACUGAAAAUUAGGAGCAGAGGACUUUAACGCUGUCAUUCAUAUCUCCAGAUGACCUUUAGUGAGGCUUCGUUUCUUCUCCUCUAUUUGCAGGAACUGGAGGAAAAGGUCUAAUUGGUUUUUCAUCCCUUUUUUAAGGCUGGAAAGUGCUGUCAGCAGGGUCAGUCAGUGUCUUUGUAGGUAGACAACAUGCAGGACUUUUCUCAUUGUCACCGAGUGUUGAUGAUGACCAGUAUACCUCUGUCCCGUCCUGGAAUUACUAAACUGGGAACAAAGUCUAUUAGAUGCUGUUAUUUUCAUAUUAACAUGACGGGGUCUAAACUAAGUUAAUCAUGUUUUUGUCAGUUAGGUUUUUAAAAGAUUUGAAAAUAUGUUAAAAAAGAGAUGAAAGAAGACAUUUUUCAAUUGGUUUAUAUGAAUUUAUUUGACUACCAGUCAAAAGUUUAGAAACAAUUAAUCAUUAAUUGAUAAAUGUUUAAUGUUAAAGCCUCUUUUGCUCACCAAGGCUGCAUUUUUUUCUAACAAAAAAUACAGUAAAAAGUAUUGAUACUGAUACUGUUUUACAUGGGAAUAUAUUCUAAAAUAUCCCAGUAUUCAUAUUAUUCCUAUAAUUUAUUCCUGUGAUGGAAGCUGAAUUUUCAGCAUCAUUACUCCAGUCUUCAGUGUCACAUGAUCCUUCAGAAAUACUUCUAAUAUGCUCAUUUGCUGCUCAAGAAACAUUUCUUAUUAUUAUCAAUGUUAAAUAUUAUCAAACAAUGAUACAUAGCAUUAAAAA